rnacentral:rRNA from 1 species
GGUGAGGUAAUGGCUCACCAAGGCUACGAUCCGUAACUUGGUCUGAGAGGAUGAUCAGUCACACUGGAACUUGAGACACGGUCCAGACUCCUACGGGAGGCAGCAGUGGGGAAUAUUGGACACCGGGCGAAAGCCUUGAUCCAGCCAUGCCGCGUGUGUGAAGAAGGUCUUCGGAUUGUAAAGCACUUUAAGUUGGGAGGAAGGGUACUUUACCUAAUACGUGAGUAUUUUGACGUUACCGACAGAAUAAGCACCGGCUAACUCUGUGCCAGCAGCCGCGGUAAUACAGAGGGUGCAAGCGUUAAUCGGAAUUACUGGGCGUAAAGCGCGCGUAGGUGGUUUGUUAAGUUGGAUGUGAAAGCCCCGGGCUCAACCUGGGAACUGCAUCCAAAACUGGCAAGCUAGAGUAUGGUAGAGGGUGGUGGAAUUUGCCUGUGUAGCGGUGAAAUGCGUAGAUAUAGGAAGGAACACCAGUGAGGCGACCACCUGGACUGAUA